CUUCUCCUUCUCCACCCCUCCUCCGCCAGCCCGGAGGGAGGAGGGUCUAAUUCGAUUGCAGGUCGGCGUGGGGGUGGGGAUUUCCUGGGCCCGCGCUUUAGUUUCCAGCCCUGCAGCUGGGGCAGGUGAUGGCAUCCCGUGUGCCAGCGGCUGGGCUUCGGGGCGGCGGGCACCCAAGGACCCUAGCAAGGUCCAGCCGCCGCCACUGCCUUCCAGAAGCCUAUGGAAAUCCGGCUUCUUUUGUGCGCGAGUUUGUGAAGGGCUUGGGGGUGCGAGAACCCCUCUGCUGAGUGCUGCCCUAAGGGGGGCUUCAGUGGAUGCCGCUCCUGCCCCCUCACGUUUUCCGUCCUGUGGCCCAGAGCCCACGUGUCUUCGGUUCCUGAGCGAGGAGUCCCAAGACCCAGAAGCUGGAGGCGGCAGCCACGACUCGGCAGCAGCAGCUCAGAAGUGGGAGCCGGACCGGGCCUUCUGCCGAAACUCAGGACAAGGCCAACCCUUCCCCGGAUUACCCAAGAGAUUAGGAUAUAACGCAGACCCUUGAUUUUCCGGGGAAAGUCGAGUAGCUGCUCUCCUUGUCAACAGCGUUCCCUCCUCGGCGCUCCAAAAGGAGGCUAUUGUGUAUUUAGGUGCGGCGCUGCGGGCCCCUCCUCGGAGCAUAGAGCAGAUCAGGGAGUCCCCGCGUUCACAGGCGCCCAGCUGUCCGUGGUGCGGGCUGGCUGGGUGAGAGCUGGUACAGACCCGGAGGGGAUGGGUGGAAACCCGAGGGAGGAAGGGAAUCUCGGUGAAGACCCGUCCGCCCCUGGGGGCGCCCAAGGCGCCCGGGAGUGGGGCCGCUGCACAGCAGUCCUUACCACUAUCCCACACACACCUACCUGCCCCAUCCAUUCCACACUUCCGCAUGUGUGCACAGGCACACACUACUCGCUCUGUCUCUCUCAACGUUCAGGCUGGAUGACCCGUGAGUCCACACAGGAGGGCAGUGGCGCUUCACGUCUACACUUUUACUCCGUUGUUCCCGCCAGAUCUCUUGGCUACAGACCAGCUGCUGUCCCGAGAUCUCACCCUCGUGUUUGCCUCAGUCCAGGGAAACGCAGGAUUGCCCAGAUUCACCCGCCUGUUCCCAGGUAGCCACACGGCCACCUCUAACUGCACAACGACUUGGAGGUGGGGUCCACAAUUUCACAGGAAAACGCUGAGGGGCCUCGGGCGCGGCCUCUCACCAGUUCACCUGCUGUCAAGGGGAAGACCAGCUCCUGAAGUUCGCACAUUUGUUCAGGAGCCCGGCCCACGAGCUUACACACACACAGUCGUACCCUUGAACUCGGUUUUCAUAUCCACAGAUUUCGACU